CUAGCUAGUUUUUUCAAAAGUUCACAGCCUCGUAAGGUGGGGAGUUGCAGUAUAGAAUCAUUAUAUAUAUCCCCUUAAUAGCAAGUCAUCAAUCACACUAUAAAUAGCAAGUCAGAGGUUGUAAUAUUUAGCAAUUGAAGUCAUCAAUUCUCACCAUUUGCCUCUCAAGAUGAAAACCGGACAUUUCUCAUCCUCGCUUGUUCUUCUCUUCCUCGUAUUGGUUGCUCGUGUAGGCGAUGCAAGGAAAGAUCCAGGAGAAUACUGGAGGAGCACAAUGAGUGAGGAGGUGAUGCCUAAGAUAAUACACGACCUCAUGGAUCAAAAUUCGACAUCGUCAGAUUCUAUGAAUUUAGAUCACUUUGUUAGAGACUUCGAGACCAAGCCUAAUGUCAUAAUAUAUCACCACGCUCGUCAUCAACAAUCAGACCCACAACUUUGAAGGACUGAAUAACAUGUUUGUCGAGCACGAGCAAAAAGGGGAUGGGCGGCCAAAUGUUUGUAGAUUCAAUUUCAUGUUGUUCAAAACUAUAUUUUCUCGUUGCGGUGCGGUUACUUUGGUUGUAAAAUUUUCAUUCAAAAAUAAUGAAUAAAAAAAAUGAGAAAAUAUUAUAUUUUCUCAUAUUUUAUCA